rnacentral:rRNA from 1 species
GUCUACGGCUGUGCUACCCUGAACAAGCCCAAUUCCAUCUGAUCUCGGAAAUUAAGCAGAUAAGGCCUGGUUAGUACUUGGAUGGGAGGCUAUCUAGGAAGACCAGAUGCUGUAGACG